rnacentral:tRNA from 1 species
UCUAGCUUAAUUGGUAGAGUGUAAGGCUUUUAACCUUGUGGUCGUGGGUUUGAGCCCUACGA